rnacentral:lncRNA from 1 species
GUGGAGGUUACCGUUUCCGUGUUGCAGGGGAGAACUGAAGGCUGAGAUGGGAGCCACCUGGGGAGAGGGCAGGACGUCACUCCCCAGCCCCCAGCCUCUGCACCCUGAAACCUCAGCCAGAUAGCGCCCCCUUCCCGGAGAGGAAACCGGGGCUGAGACCAGGGGCUUCUUUUCUGUUGUUUUUCCCCCUCUCUGCGAUGUUGUUCGUUUUUGUGAACAUUGCACUUAUCUGAUGUCACAGGUUUGGGGAACCCAAACCGCAGACACAAAUACGCUGUGUUAUUCUUUGAAGGAUUGUGCGGCGAGAUAAGGGAACUUGGUGCUGGGGGCGGGGGCGGGGAUUCGGCGUGCAAGGAGGCACAGGUUGUUUUUGCAGAACUAGGAGCAUCAGGGUUUGUUCUCAGCUUCAGAGUCAUCAGCAUCUUUGCUGGGAGCUCAGUCACCGGUCACAGUCACCCGAGCGGGCCACACUGGGGUGCUGAGCCCUCUUCCUUCCCCAGCACUGCCCAGAACAGCCAGGCAGCAGGCACAGGGGAAACCCAGAAGCAACAUCAGCACCGCAGCAGCAGCAUCUCUCGAGGAUGCUGCAGAAAAGGCUGGUGGCCCUGCAGUGCCUGGGGCUAAGACAUGUGGGUCCCUUCCAUCUUCUGGAAGAUUCUGAGUUAACCUGAAAAUCUUGUUUGGUUUUCCUGUGCUUUUUGAGAAUACCCCUCAAAUACCCAAAUUCCCUCUCUGAACUAAGUGUUAUGAGGCCUGCAAAAUCUUGCUUCCUGCUUCUGCCCUGGCCUCACACAGACUGUUAUCCACACGCAGUCAGUGGCAUCCUGUGAAAACCUGAGUCAGGGCACAUCCCUCCUCUGUGGCUCUUGCUUCCCUCUGGGUCAAAGCCAAGUCCCUACUGUGGCCCACAAGGCUCUGCCUUCGCCAGUCUUCCCCUCACCGCCCCCACCCUCACUCCAUCUCUCCUGCUCCUGCACUGGCCUCAGGGCCUUUGCAUUUACUGCUCCCUGACUUCCUUCACUGCCAUACAUUCCUGUCAGAGAAGCUGUCCCUGACCGCCACCCAAAUGGUGUCUCUUUCCCAAAAUAACUAUCCCUUACUUGGCUUUAUUUUUCUUCAUUGCUCUUUGUCACUACCAGACAUGUCAGAUAUUUAUUCUUUUGUUUAUUGUCAUGGGACCUAAGUUCCAUGGACUUUUGUGUUUCUCUGGUACGUAGAAAACUUCCUGGUACAUUGAGUAAGCUCAACCAUUUUUCUUUUUGUGUGAAGAAAUGCAAGACUCUUGGGGCCAGCUACUUCAGACCGAAGAGUUUAGCUCAGGUCUUCAGGACAAUCACAAUCAUAUUUGGAUUUUGGAGGGGGGUUUCCCUGAUCAAUUGGUUUGGGUGUGUUCACUGAUAGUUCUGAGAGAGGCCACAUGCCUUAAUUGCGGGGCAUGCUGGACAGCGCUGUGUGGACUACAGACAACUUAAAAUCAGUGCCUCCCUUGGGGGGAUGUCUCAGGGAUUAAAUCAGAUGAUAUCUGUAUGAUGCCUAGUCCCAUGCGUGGCACGUGGGAAGUGCUCAGCAAAUGGUCAUUACAAGCUGCAGUUGUAGCACGAAGGGGAGCACAGAGACAGGAGGCUUAGUUGACAUCCAGGCUCCUGGAUGGAGUGACUGCACGGAUGGGCAAGCACGAAGUUGAGAAUAAAGGGGGGGGUGGUGGUUGUAGUAUGGUUGAGGCCAAGGGUACUUGCAUCAGAGUGGGAAAGAGUUGAGGGUCUGCGGGAUGUCUAAGUGAACAUGUCCAGUUGGCAGGUGGACUCAGGAGAGAGACUGAGCCUGCAGUUAUGGAUUUUGGGAUAAUCAACCCACAGGUGAUGAUAGAAGACCCAAGGGCCACCCUAAGUCAGAGGAUAUGCAGAGAAGGGGUAGAGGUGAGGAUGGAACCCUUAGGGACUCCCAGUGUCCCUCUUCUGCUCGGGACCUCUGUCCUGAGACCUGACAGCUCCCCAGGCUAGGACGGGGUUGCCCUUGUUGAUCAUAUGGACUGAUACCCCCUCAAAUAAGAGUUUUCUCAAGUAGGAAGAAGUGCCACAUCUCUCUUGACCAGAAAAUUUGUAUCCAUCCCCUUCUCUCCUCAACUUACCACAAUCUCAUUACCACUCUCACUACACAGGUCAGUCAUUUAUAGCCACAACAAUUCUACGUAACAAACCACCCCCAAACCUUUUAUUCUCUUGAAUGUGGAGGAAGAGAAGGGAGAGAGAAGAGAAACCCAUGGAAGAGAGUGAAAAAGAAAAGGCGAUGAGGUAGGAUAACCGGCAAGUAGAGGUGAUACUGGAGCCACGGAAUGCCUCGCCCUUCCCUGGACCCAUGUCUCUCAACAGGUGACCUUGUGGUUCCUCCCGCAGAAAGAGUGGAGCAUGUUUUCUCUCUCUUGACGUGAGUUUAGCCAUGUGUCUUGCUUUCACCAAGACAAUGAAACGAAAGAGAUGAAUGAGAUGAAAGUGACAGCAUGUCAGCUGGAGAUUGGGUUUUAAGAGACCUUUCAUGUUUUCACCUGGCUCAUGGGCCUCUGCCAUCACUGUGACCAGACACACCUGGUAAAGUCUGUGGGUCUCAGAAGAAGAUGAAAGACAAAUUUUUUUUGGUCUUUUUAAAAUUUUGUUUUGUCUUUUUUAAGUUUUAUGUGCACCCAUGGCAUAUGGAGGUUCCAAGGCUAGGGGUCCAAUUGGAGCUGUAGCUGUCGACCUAUGCCACAGCCACAGCAAUGCCAGAUCCAAGCUGCAUCUGCGACCUAUACCAUUGCUUAUGGCAGCGUCGGAUCCUUAACCCACGGAGUGAGGCCAGAGAUCAAAACUGUGUCCCCAGGGAUGCUAGUCAGAUUCGUUUCCACUGAGCCACUGGAAGACAGCUGGGGCAGAGCAGAGUCACACCAGCCAGGCCAGCCUAGCCUAGGUCAGCUGAUCUCCAGCUGAGUAGUAGGUAGGGUGACAGGUCCAGCCAAGAUCAGCAGAGCUAUCCGGUGAAGCUCACAUCAGGUCAACUCUAUAUUUAAGAGAAUAAAAGAUUUAGAGUGUCUGUUAUACAGCAUCAUCGCAGCCAUAGAUGACUGAUACACAUGAGAAUGGAAGUGAAAUUGCGAUGAGUUGAGGAGAGAAGAGGAUGGGGUUAAAAAAAGUUCUGGUUAAUAGAGGUCUGGCAGACAUUGUCCACUGCUCAACCACAGCCAUUGUCAACUCCUUUUUGUGGGCUGAGAGAACCUUCUUUUAUUAUUAUUAUGCUGGGAGGGCAUCAGCCUGUGUACUCAAGGAAGGGGUCAUCCUCCCAGCCUGAGGAGAUAAAUCAAGCCUCAGGACAGAAGCCCACACACUGCUGAAGCCAGAGUAGAAAAAGAGAAAAAAUACAUGUCCUGGAUAAUGUCUUCGCCUCUUUGUAUUAACAUCCCUUGAAUAACCUGUGGCAGAUACUGCUCAGUCUGCCCAAUACCCAAUAUUCUUCCUUUCUCCUUUCCACAGAACCCUGACUUUAUUGGGGUGGCAGUAGGCCAGCUGAAACCACCCACUCUCCUACACUCCCUCAUACCUAGGAGUGGCUGUGUGAUCCAGGUAUGAGCAAUGAAAAUUAAGCAAAAUUUUCCAAGUGUGCUCCCUGGGAAAGCUUUUUGAAAAGAGGAAAAAAAUGGUGGGCAUUCUGUUCAGCCCUGGCUCCUUCCUCCUGCCUGUAAUGUGGAUAUGAGCUGCAGAUGGAAUGGACAUCUUGCAACCACGACCAACCAUAAGGACAAAAGCCACAUAUUCAAGAUGGCC